rnacentral:rRNA from 1 species
AUGAGGACGCUCCGGCAACGCGACGAACCGGUGGGCCAGUACGCGCAACGUCUCAAGGCCAUGGCGGACGAGCUGCACGAGUUGGGGACCCCCGUCGAUGACCGCACCAUGAUCGGCUGCCUCCUCGCCGGCAUCAGCGACAAAUUCGACCGCGUCACGUCCCUGAUUCCUCUGCUUCGCCCGGCGCCGCCCUUCUCCGAGGUUCGAUCCAUGCUCCAGCGUGAGGAGCAGAAGCUGAACCGCAAGGGCCAGGAGCACUCCGCGUUCUACACUGCCAAUCGCCCGGACGCGCCCCAACCGCCGCCUCGACCACCUGCACCAUCACGACCGCCGGGGGUCAGUCCCAAUUACAGAGGGAAGAACCCCAUCCCCGGUUUCCAGCUUCAGCGGCAACAGGCGCAGGCAACUGGCUCCACCAGCACUCAGACCAGCAGCGCCACUUCGUCACCAACCAUCGCACAACGCCCACAAGGGACCUGGAUUUAUCCUAACUCCACACAUCCAGCUCUACUGUCAAAUCAAUAUGGCCCACAUGUGUCAGCCAUGCAUGCGCCAGUGUGUACAGUUCAGCCGCAUUUCAAUUGA